rnacentral:misc_RNA from 1 species
GAUGAAGAACGCAGCGAAAUGCGAUAAGUAAUGUGAAUUGCAGAAUCCAGUGAAUCAUCGAAUCUUUGAACGCACAUUGCGCCCGCCAGCAUUCUGGCGGGCAUGCCUGUUCGAGCGUCAUUUCAACCCUCGACCUCCCUUUGGGGAAGUUGGCGUUGGGGACCGGCAGCACACCGCCGGCCCUGAAAUGGAGUGGCGGCCCGUCCGCGGCGACCUCUGCGUAGUAAACCAACUCGCACCGGAACCCCGACGUGGCCACGCCGUAAAACACCCAACUUCUGAACGUUGACCUCGAAUCAGGUAGGACUACCCGCUGAACUUAAGCAUAUCAAUAAGCGGAGGA